rnacentral:tRNA from 1 species
UAUAAUUUAGUGUAUGACGCAUAAAAAUUUUUGAUAUUUUUGGGAAUAGUUUAAAUCUAUUAAUUAUAA